rnacentral:misc_RNA from 1 species
CUGAGUGAGGGCCCUCUGGGUCCUAACCCCCCACCCGUGUUUAUUGUACCUUGUUGCUUCGGUGCGCCCGCCUCACGGCCGCCGGGGGCUUCCGCCCCCGGGUCCGCGCACCGGAGACACUAUUGAACUCUGUCUGAAGAUUGCAGUCUGUGCAUAAACUAAAUAAGUUA